GACAGAGGAUGCAAGCGUUAUCCGGAAUGAUUGGGCGUAAAGCGUCUAUAGGUGGCUUUUCAAGUCUGCCGUCAAAUCCCAGGGCUCAACCCUGGACAGGCGGUGGAAACUGCCAAGCUGGAGUACGGUAGGGGUAGAGGGAAUUUCCGGUGGAGCGGUGAAAUGCGUAGAGAUCGGAAAGAACACCAACGGCGAAAGCACUCUGCUGGGCCGACACUGACACUGAGAGACGAAAGCUAGGGGAGCGAAUGGG
rnacentral:rRNA from 1 species